ACAGCUCUGCAAUGAUGAUAAAGUCACAGCUACUAGUGAUGUGUGGGGGUUAGGCUGUAUUCUGUAUGAGCUGGUUACAGGUCAUCCUAUUUGGCACCUACAUCGACAUAUAACCUCAGAGGAACUGAAGAAAAUAAUGAAGUACAAGUACUCAACACUAUCAACGGAGCCUGAAUACAACUUGAUCUAUCUCUAUCCUAAGAUGAGCCCACUUUUGUCUGCUUGUUGGCAGGUUGACCCCAACAAAAGAAUUAGCAUAAUUGAUCUGCAAGUGCAGUUAAUUGAAGUAUUUUUAUCCAGCAACCCUAGACAUCCCACAUAAGACUUACUUUGGUACACUUCUGUAAAUAGCAUUUGACUUUCUACCUUGUAGGUUAUGUGAUUGCUAUGUCUAACCUGUAAAACAAAGUAUGUUUGAUAGGAAGAAAAAAUUUAGAUCCUUUUUAUUUUUUGAAAAAGGCUUAAAUGAUUUUCAAAUCUUAGCUUACUGGCUGGUCACACACCAUCCAACCUUGAGGUCGGCCAUAAUUUUAGUUUAAAAUAUUGUUAAUUACGUGUGGCUUUAAAUCUCCAUAGUGUGUGUUUUAUGACUAAAAUUGUUCCAACUGAGGGAAAUAAUCUGUCACACUGCACUAGACUCAAACCUUUCUUUGUCAACAUGAAAAGUUGAAUCUCUAGGUCUAAAGGAAUAGUUACUCUCUAUCUUAGGAAGGUUCUUAUAGUAUAUGCACCAAAAGUAAAAGUCACCUGCACAGCUCUUCCCAAUGAAAAGAUGAACCACAAAGUUAACCCAAUAAGCUUACAAAUUUUAAAUUUUUUUCUUUUCAAAAAUAAAUAAAUCGAUGGAAAGAAAUGUAUGUAAGAGAAGCUCUUAUUUAAUAAAAAAAAAUGCUAAUAUUUUGGUCGAAAAAAUAUAUUUAUUUAAAUAUUCAUAUCAUUUUAAAAAAAAACCUUGGUAAAGAAUGCUUAAAAAGCUACCAAUACUUAUGAAUUGCUAAAUGAGAAAUUUAUUUUUGUAAAUUGUCACUAUGUUGGCAUCCUUCAAUUCCUGGGGGACCAUUCCUUGCUCCCAACACAAGCUAAACAGUUCAUGGAAUGGAUUGAUUAGGGCGCGCUUUCCAGUCUGAAAGGCUCCGAUUGUAACUGUUAUAGAAGCAUUUCACUUCUUAGCAUUGUUGGAAAGGCUUAUGCUACUGAAAUGGAUGCAAAAUGAAUUUAUUCAGAAUGGCAGUGUUGCUUUAGGG
rnacentral:sRNA from 1 species